rnacentral:rRNA from 1 species
UAGGGAAUCUUCCGCAAUGGACGCAAGUCUGACGGAGCAACGCCGCGUGAGUGAAGAAGGAUUUCGGUUCGUAAAACUCUGUUGUUAGAGAAGAACAGCGCAUAGAGUAACUGUUAUGCGUGUGACGGUAUCUAACCAGAAAGCCACGGCUAACUACGUGCCAGCAGCCGCGGUAAUACGUAGGUGGCAAGCGUUGUCCGGAUUUAUUGGGCGUAAAGCGAGCGCAGGCGGUCAAUUAAGUCAGAUGUGAAAGCCCCCGGCUCAACCGGGGAGGGUCAUUGGAAACUGGUUGACUUGAGUGCAGAAGGGGGGAGUGGAAUUCCAUGUGUAGCGGUGAAAUGCGUAGAUAUAGGGAGGAACACCGGUGGCGAAAGCGGGUCUCUGGUAUGUAACUGACGCUGAGGCUCGAAAGCGUGGGGAGCGAACAGG